CACAUAGUUUAGGUCCUGGCUUAACUCUACUUAUGAUGGUUCAACUUACACUUUUUCAACUUUAAGAUGGUGCAAAAGCAAUACACAUUCAGUAUGUUCCUCGACUUAGGAUGCGGUUAUGUCCGAUAAACCCAUUGUAAAUUGAAACCACCGAAAGUCAAAAACCACUUUCGACUUACGAUGUUUCCCACUCACGAUGGGUUUCUCCGGAUGUAGCCCCAUCAUAAGUUGAGGAGCACCUGUUAGUUACUUCCAACUGUCUCAGGCAACCUGGGCAUUCAGGAGAAAAGCCUGGCACAGGGUGACAGGGAAGCACCCAUGCAAAGCACCCCCGCUUUGACUGCUUGGCAGACCUAGGGUGCCCGGGAAGCACAAGGGAUACCCUUGGCCCUGCGGGGUGUGGCCCAGGUGCCUGCCAUGAGCCUGACCCCAUCGAGGGGGAACCUCAGCCCACCCUGGGCCUGGGGGUGACAAGAACUUCCACAGGUUGGCCCCAGGCUUAUAGGAGGCAUAAGCAGAUCCCGCGAUGGCUUGUCAUUGUCCCCUGUCCUGGAACAAUAAAGCAAGUGCCUUGUGGUCUCACUA
rnacentral:lncRNA from 10 species